rnacentral:rRNA from 1 species
CCUACGGGAGGCAGCAGUGGGGAAUUUUGCGCAAUGGGGGAAACUCUGACGCAGCAACGCCGCGUGAGUGAUGAAGGCCUUCGGGUCGUAAAGCUCUGUCAGAGGGGAAGAAGUGUAGUGCGGUUAAUACCCGUUCUACUUGACGGUACCCUCAAAGGAAGCACCGGCUAACUCCGUGCCAGCAGCCGCGGUAAU